GUCCACGCUGUAAACGAUGAGCACUAGGUGUCGCGGGUAUUGACACCUGCGGUGCCGCAGCUAACGCAUUAAGUGCUCCGCCUGGGGACUACGGCCGCAAGGUUAAAACUCAAAGGAAUUGACGGGGCCCGCACAAGCGGUGGAGCAUGUGGUUCAAUUCGACGCAACGCGAAGAACCUUACCUGGGCUAGACAACGGAGGACCGCUCCAGAGAUGGGGUUUUCCCUUCGGGGACCUUCGGUUCAGGUGCUGCAUGGCUGUCGU
rnacentral:rRNA from 1 species